UGGAUCCAGACUUUGAUUAUGGCUCAGGACGAACGCUGGCGGCGUGCCUAAUACAUGCAAGUCGAACGAAGCUUUCUUUCACCGAAUGCUUGCAUUCGCCGAAAGAAGCUUAGUGGCGAACGGGUGAGUAACACGUAGGCAACCUGCCCAAAAGAGGGGGAUAACACUUGGAAACAGGUGCUAAUACCGCAUAACCAUGAACACCGCAUGAUGUUCAUGUAAAAGACGGCUUUUGCUGUCACUUUUGGAUGGGCCUGCGGCGUAUUAACUUGUUGGUGGGGUAACGGCCUACCAAGGUGAUGAUACGUAGUCGAACUGAGAGGUUGAUCGGCCACAUUGGGACUGAGACACGGCCCAAACUCCUACGGGAGGCAGCAGUAGGGAAUCUUCCACAAUGGACGAAAGUCUGAUGGAGCAACGCCGCGUGAAUGAAGAAGGCCUUCGGGUCGUAAAAUUCUGUUGUCAGAGAAGAACGUGCGUGAGAGUAGCUGUUCACGUAUUGACGGUAUCUGACCAGAAAGCCACGGCUAACUACGUGCCAGCAGCUGCGGUAAUACGUGGGUGGCGAGCGUUGUCCGGAUUUAUUGGGCGUAAAGGGAACGCAGGCGGUCUUUUAAGUCUGAUGUGAAAGCCUUCGGCUUAACCGAAGUAGUGCAUUGGAAACUGGAAGACUUGAGUGCAGAAGAGGAGAGUGGAACUCCAUGUGUAGCGGUGAAAUGCGUAGAUAUAUGGAAGAACACCAGUGGCGAAAGCGGCUCUCUGGUCUGUAACUGACGCUGAGGUUCGAAAGCGUGGGUAGCAAACAGGAUUAGAUACCCUGGUAGUCCACGCCGUAAACGAUGAGUGCUAAGUGUUGGAGGGUUUCCGCCCUUCAGUGCUGCAGCUAACGCAUUAAGCACUCCGCCUGGGGAGUACGGUCGCAAGACUGCAACUCAAAUGAAUUGACGGA
rnacentral:rRNA from 1 species